GCCUCCGUAGAUUAAUGAUAGAUCACCUCAGUACCGUUCUGCGGUCGGCGUAGUCAUCGUCUGAGGGCAUGUGGGUUCGACUCCCGCCGGAGGCA